GGCCAGGCGGGUGGUAGCCCGGUUCUUGUGCGCAGGCGUCCCCUGUGUCCCGACGCCCGGCGUCUGUGCGGGGUGGGGCAGGGACUAGUGCCCUGCGGAUCUCCCGCUGGAGAUGGAGCCUCUCCGUAUGCAGUGGGAACUCGCUCCGGAUCUGCAUCCUGGCGGGAUGAGCCGAGGAGCGGCUGCCCUGCGGGAUGGAGACGAGUGGCCCUCUUGCUCCUGUCCUGGGUCUUCCUGAACGCUGAGGUUUCGUUUCAUCUGAGCAAGGCCAUAAGCUGUCUGGAUUCGGGAGCCGGCGGCGGACAACAGGGGUGGAGUCAGCGUUUGGGAAUGCCCCAACUUGUUAGAUAAAAGUGUUUAGUAAGC
rnacentral:lncRNA from 1 species